rnacentral:rRNA from 1 species
UCUUAGUGGCGGACGGGUGAGUAACGCGUGGGUAACCUGCCUUGCACUGGGGGAUAACACUUAGAAAUAGGUGCUAAUACCGCAUAAGCGCACGGUCCCGCAUGGGACAGUGUGAAAAACUCCGGUGGUGCAAGAUGGACCCGCGUCUGAUUAGCUGGUUGGCGGGGUAAAGGCCCACCAAGGCGACGAUCAGUAGCCGGCCUGAGAGGGUGGACGGCCACAUUGGGACUGAGACACGGCCCAAACUCCUACGGGAGGCAGCAG